AUGCUCAUUUCAGCAGCACAUAUAUUUCAAUGGAAAAGAUAAAGAGAAGGUUAUACCCCUGUUCAAGCAUGACAUACACAUUCUGGAAGCAUUUCAGAUUUUU